UCCCUGGUAGUAUAUCGGUUAGUACACGCGCCUGUCAUAGUGAAACGUGCCGACGGCCGCGCGAAAGCUGGGUUCGACUCCCAGCCAGGGAG